UACGGGGGGGGCAAGCGUUGUUCGGAAUUACUGGGCGUAAAGGGCUCGUAGGCGGCCACCUAAGUCAGACGUGAAAUCCCUCGGCUUAACCGGGGAACUGCAUCUGAUACUGGAUGGCUUGAGUUCGGGAGAGGGAUGCGGAAUUCCAGGUGUAGCGGUGAAAUGCGUAGAUAUCUGGAGGAACACCGGUGGCGAAGGCGGCAUCCUGGACCGACACUGACGCUGAGGAGCGAAAGCCAGGGGAGCAAACGGG
rnacentral:rRNA from 1 species